CUUACAAACAUCACCACCACCACUCUACCUAAAUCAGGAAGCACGGAGACGUGGUUCUCCCUUUUCUGUUAUUGUCCUUUCUUUUGCUCCAACGGAUACACUUUUUCUGCGACCACAGCAUCAGCGAGCCAUACAGUAGAGGGGGAAAGGCGUUAUUAUUGUUGAUGGUGUGGACGAGCCGCGUCCAGCUGAAGGAGACACCGCUCACAUCCAGCUCAUCGCUCAGCUGUGGAUGAACUGGUCACAGACCGACCGGAGAACAAGGUCUGUUUGAAUUACAGAGCGCAUCCCUGGUGUUCAACGCAAGCAAGUACAGCUCUUUAAUGGUAGGCUCUGUCAGCAGCAUGGGACAGCAUCUAGGAAAGAAAGAGUCAUCCCCAGAAAGCAAGGCUUUGUCACCUGAACCCAAACCAGAAGCAGCGACAGAAGCAGAGGCAGAAGCAGAAGCAGAACCCAUGGCAGCGGCAGAGCCCGAACCCCAAGAUGAAGUUUUCGGCCAGGGCGAGGCAGAUGCGGAGCAGAACAAUAGCCGCGUCUCGGAGAAGCCGGCGGUGACUGACUCCACGGGCGCUGAGGGCCCCCGCCAGCCCUGGCCCCCGGCCAGCAGCGCUGACCCCGACGCCGCCACGCCACGCCCCCACCUGGCCCGCCUCUUCUCCCGAGAUGCCCCGGGCCGGGAGGACAACACCUUCAAAGAGCGACCCUCCGAGUCGGACGAGCUACAGACCAUCCAGGAGCACAGCGGAGCCGGUUCAGACUGUGGGUCGGAGAGCCCCGAACAGGACCUAGAAUAGGCUAGCUUUUUAUUUUGCCUUCCCCAUCGCUUUUCCUUUCUCUUUUUCCUCCUCUACUCUUUUAUUCUCUCAUCCAAGAGAGACGAAGACCCCCUUCGUUUGUUCACUUAAAGCAAGUUAAACCGCUCCUGCAAGCAUGGCAUCCUCAAGCAGCUCCGCACAGGCCGCCUUCGGGCUGGGCCGCAGGAAGAAGGCCCCCGGGCUCCUGGAUCAGAUCGGAAAAUUCUUCGGCGGGGACAAGAAAAGGAAGGGCAAGGGUUCCCAGAAGUCAAGCAAGAAGGCCAGUGCUGGGGACGGCAAAGGCUCCCUGACUAGGAUCUUCAAAAUGUGAUGAUAUCAGCAGCAGAGGAAGCAGGAGUGCUUCUCCAGCCAAACGCUGAAGUCUCCAACCUCUCCAACCCCUUCCACCAACAAGAGGGCAGAUGUUCAUGAGCGCAGGGGGGAAAAAAGAGGAAGAAAAAGAGGAAAUCUCGUCAACCCUACACACUGACCUCCUCAACCGCCUUCGAUAACAACCUAAUGUUUGCUAAAUCCCUCUUCUUCCCUAUUACUGCCCCCCCUCCCCCCACUCCUAUGGCUGAUAGAUAGCGACACAAUCUGCCCAUCCCCCCCCGCCAGCGUUAUGCUUACUGUGCAGUCGUCAUUGCCGGGUGUGAACUGUUUGCUGAAGUUGUUCCUGAAGCCGCUCACAUGUGCAGCCUGAAUGACCUCCUCCCCCACCCCGCCGUGGCUCUCUCUACGUACCGCUUGAGUUUCUGUAGUUGUCCUUGGUACUUUCCUAACAAACGAAGGCUAAGCUGAAGCCGAUCUGGAGCAGGUUGAAGGUAAAGGCCGGUGCAAAAGUUCAGCUGACUUCACCGUUAUGGCCACGUGCCGCCGGGUGAAAAGACCGGGUCGCUUCUGUUUUAGAAACAGACUGUUUUCUGUAUUGUCUCAUUGUCUACGUCAGGCCCUUCUGUUCCCUCAAACACACACUUGUGUUUGAGUAUUGUUCUGUGAUGAAUUUAACAUGUGUGACAUGACUGUGAGAGCCAUUUUUUGUUCCGUGUCUUCAUUCACCUCAUGUGUUGUAGCUGUAGCCAAGUGUCUUGUCAUGAAUGUGAUAUUGAUCUAUGUUUGUUAUCAUCUGAUUUAAGGGUGGCUGUGACUUUUUCUGCUAGAAAAAAGAGAUGCAUUUCUUUUUUUAGUCCAUUUGAUAAUAACAUGACUACUUGACCUUUAUACAUGUAACGACAUCUUUUCAUAGUGCAGUUUUCUCUCAUUAAGUCUGUCCCGGUGCCGCAGCAUCGUGACGGAUUCGUCCGUGCUUCAGUGUAGUCUGCAGCAGGUCUCUUCACUGUCUUCAUUGUUUCUAUUGCAUGCAUAGCACGCAGUCUGUAACUUAAAUCUCAAAAUGCCUUCACUCUGCAAGUGCCUUGCCUUGCCUGCCAAAAACCAUGUGCUGUCUUUCCCUUCUGAUGUACAAUAAAAAGAAAAUACACAAUUUCAAAAAGGUGCUCCGUGACUAACUCUGUAAUGAUGCACUAUAAAGUCUUAAGAAUGUGCACAUUUUUGUUAAAGGGAAUAAAAUGAAAUAAAAUGUCAGUUGUAGUUGAGCUUAGCCCCACCAGUCGUGCUGUGACACACACACCUUCCCAAAGCAGGUGUGUGUGACGUCUCGCCUUCAUCCUUCCUACUGUCUGCGUGUGCUUGAGCCUUGUGAGUGCUGUGAAGUGUGUUUGUUUUGCUGAUUGGAUUCUGGGAAUGACUGAAAGCAACCUCCUCAUUAUUAUUGUAUGUGUAAUAAAACAUGACCUGCCACUUAACUGAGAAUAAAAAAAUAAAAAUAUAUAUAUUAUAAACCAAG